rnacentral:rRNA from 1 species
UGGGGAAUAUUGCACAAUGGGCGCAAGCCUGAUGCAGCCAUGCCGCGUGUAUGAAGAAGGCCUUCGGGUUGUAAAGUACUUUCAGCGGGGAGGAAGGGAGUAAAGUUAAUACCUUUGCUCAUUGACGUUACCCGCAGAAGAAGCACCGGCUAACUCCGUGCCAGCAGCCGCGGGAAUACGGAGGGUGCAAGCGUUAAUCGGAAUUACUGGGCGUAAAGCGCACGCAGGCGGUUUGUUAAGUCAGAUGUGAAAUCCCCGGGCUCAACCUGGGAACUGCAUCUGAUACUGGCAAGCUUGAGUCUCGUAGAGUGGGGUAGAAUUCCAGGUGUAGCGGUGAAAUGCGUAGAGAUCUGGAGGAAUACCGGUGGCGAAGGCGGCCCCCUGGACGAAGACUGACGCUCAGGUGCGAAAGCGUGGGGAGCAAACA